UGGGGUGCGACCUCCGCAUCGGCUCGAACCGCUCGGUGGAUGUCUGCGGCGUGUGCGGCGGCGACGGGUCCUCCUGCGGCACCGGCGACCAUUUCUGGGUCGAGAAGAUCAUCGCGCCAUGCUCCGUGUCUUGCGGCGGAGGGUUCCAGGUGGCGCGCCCUGUCUGCAAGAGUCGGCGAAGCGGCGUGGAGGUGUCGGACGAGUUCUGCGACCACCGCCUGAGGCCACGCGACCGGCUCGUCGAGUGUGGGCUGGUGCCCUGCCAGGCCAGCUGGACCACCGACGAAUGGGGCGCGUGCAGCGCUUCCUGUGACGGUGGCCACAAACUGAGGAGGGUCUGGUGCUCGGAGACGGCCAACAACACCCUGGU